ACAGUACAAACUGAGCAGGCGAUACAUACGGAAGUGAUUUCAUGUAUGAAUGGGGCCGGGCCGCAACGCGGCAGCAGAUGAAGUUUUAUAUCCUGGGAAGGAUAUUGACCUGCCUUUGGGCAGAGGAAAGAAUCUGUGGGACAGU
rnacentral:ncRNA from 1 species